GAUGAACGCUGGCGGCGUGCUUAACACAUGCAAGUCGAACGGAAAGGCCCAAGCUUGCUUGGGUACUCGAGUGGCGAACGGGUGAGUAACACGUGGGUGAUCUGCCCUGCACUUCGGGAUAAGCCUGGGAAACUGGGUCUAAUACCGGAUAGGACCACUUCUUGGAUGUUGUGGUGGAAAGUUUUUUCGGUGUGGGAUGAGCUCGCGGCCUAUCAGCUUGUUGGUGGGGUAAUGGCCUACCAAGGCGUCGACGGGUAGCCGGCCUGAGAGGGUGUACGGCCACAUUGGGACUGAGAUACGGCCCAGACUCCUACGGGAGGCAGCAGUGGGGAAUAUUGCACAAUGGGCGCAAGCCUGAUGCAGCGACGCCGCGUGGGGGAUGACGGCCUUCGGGUUGUAAACUCCUUUCGCUAGUGACUAAGCGUGUUGUGACGGUACCUGGAGAAGAAGCACCGGCUAACUACGUG
rnacentral:rRNA from 1 species